AGAGUUUGAUCCUGGCUCAGAACGAACGUUGGCGGCACGCUUAACACAUGCAAGUCGAACGAGAAACCUGAGCUUGCUCAGGUGGACAGUGGCAGACGGCUUAGUAACGCGUGGGUAUCUACCUAGAGGUUUGGAACAACUAUUGGAAACGAUAGCUAAUACCAAAUAUUCCCUAAUCGGCAAAGAUUUAUCGCCUGGAGAUGAGCCCGCGUCCGAUUAGUUUGUUGGUGAGGUAACGGCUCACCAAGACUUCGAUCGGUAGCUGGUCUGAGAGGAUGAUCAGCCACACUGGGACUGAGACACGGCCCAGACUCCUACGGGAGGCAGCAGUGGGGGAAUUUGGACAAUGGGGGCAACCCUGAUCCAGCCAUGCCGCGUGAGUGAAGAAGGCCUUAGGGUUGUAAAACUCUUUCACCGGUGAAGAUAAUGACGGUAGCCGGAGAAGAAGCCCCGGCUAACUCCGUGCCAGCAGCCGCGGUAAUACGGAGGGGGCUAGCGUUGUUCGGAAUUACUGGGCGUAAAGCGCGCGUAGGCGGUUUGGUUAGUUGGGCGUGAAAGCCCGGGGCUCAACCCCGGAACUGCGUCAUAAACUCCUGGUCUUGAGUUCGAGAGAGGUGAGUGGAAUUCCGAGUGUAGAGGUGAAAUUCGUAGAUAUUCGGAGGAACACCAGUGGCGAAGGCGGCUCACUGGCUCGAUACUGACGCUGAGGUACGAAAGUGUGGGGAGCAAACAGGAUUAGAUACCCUGGUAGUCCACACCGUAAACGAUGAAUGCCAGUCGUCGGGAAGUAUACUGUUCGGUGACACACCUAACGGAUUAAGCAUUCCGCCUGGGGAGUACGGUCGCAAGAUUAAAACUCAAAGGAAUUGACGGGGGCCCGCACAAGCGGUGGAGCAUGUGGUUUAAUUCGAAACAACGCGCAGAACCUUACCAACCCUUGACAUACUCGUCGUCGCUCCAGAGAUGGAGCUUUCAGCUAGGCUGGACGAGAUACAGGUGCUGCAUGGCUGUCGUCAGCUCGUGUCGUGAGAUGUUCGGUUAAGUCCGGCAACGAGCGCAACCCACAUCUUUAGUUGCCAGCAGUUCGGCUGGGCACUCUAAAGAAACUGCCCGUGAUAAGCGGGAGGAAGGUGUGGAUGACGUCAAGUCCUCAUGCCCCUUACGGGUUGGGCUACACACGUGCUACAAUGGCAGUGACAAUGGGUUAAUCCCAAAAAACUGUCUCAGUUCGGAUUGGGGUCUGCAACUCGACCCCAUGAAGUCGGAAUCGCUAGUAAUCGCGUAACAGCAUGACGCGGUGAAUACGUUCCCGGGCCUUGUACACACCGCCCGUCACACCAUGGGAGUUGGGUCUACCCGAAGGCCGUGCGCCAACCUCUUCGGAGGGGGCAGCGGACCACGGUGGGUUCAGCGACUGGGGUGAAGUCGUAACAAGGU
rnacentral:rRNA from 1 species